UGCCAGCCGCCGCGGUAAUACGGAGGGUGCAAGCGUUGUUCGGAAUUAUUGGGCGUAAAGCGCGUGUAGGCGGUUCGUUAAGUCUGAUGUGAAAGCCCGGGGCUCAACCCCGGAAGUGCAUUGGAAACUGGCGAACUUGAGUACGGGAGAGGAAAGUGGAAUUCCCAGUGUAGAGGUGAAAUUCGUAGAUAUUGGGAAGAACACCAGUGGCGAAGGCGGCUAACUGGCUCGGUACUGACGCUGAGACGCGAAAGCGUGGGGAGCAAACAGGAUUAGAUA
rnacentral:rRNA from 1 species